AGCCACCGCGGCGACUUGGCGGCGGGUGCCAUGCGUCUGGAGCUUCACAUUCUCUGCCCCCCACCCACCGCGCCGGCGCUCCCUUGUCACGCCUCGGGAAGCGCGCACCUGCCAAGCAGGAUGAAUAAUCUGAUAUCAUGUGAAAUGAGGAAAUAAGAAGCUUUCUGCUGACUUCAUUUUGACCCAGGGUCCAAAAGGUGAUGUAAUCCUGUGGCAAGAAGAUUCAAAACUGUGGACUAUCUUGCAAAAAAUACAAGAAGAUAUUGAAAGUUUUCAUGAGUGCCUACCACCUAAUCUCAAACACUAUCAUUCAUAUGUGCCUCAUUGAGCAAAUCUUUAAUGAGGAUCUAUAUGCCAGCAAUAUCUUUUGCUUGGGAGCAGAAACAGAAAGUACAUGAUGGACUUCAUUGAAGGAUGGAGAUUUGGAAGACAUGAAUGGAUGAAGAACCAAGUGCGUGAGGGCACCUAUCAGGAUUAUUGCUGAAAUCCUUAUGGAGUUAACUGGCUGAGAGGAAGGCAAGCAAGCGAGGACUGAUGGGCCCUUGGCACUGUGAGAACAGUGGAGGAGGAGGGAGCAGGGUUCAUAAGGAGGAGCACAAACAGAAAGUUCAGUGGCCCCAAUAAAAAUAACACCAGAAUCUUCCAGAUACUUUCUCCAUAAGGCGAAAAGGUAAAUGCCCCUUUAAAUCAUUAACUAAACUGGCACUUAGAUCUGGGCAGGCUCUCCCAGAUUGGGCUGUUCCGUUUUGCCAGGAAUUGAUAAACUUCUGUGACCCCUCCAGGGUGAGUGAGCAUGAUCCAUCUUCCCUGUCUGGACAAGUUUGAUCCAGCCUCCUUCCUCCUGCUGAAGCAGGCCUGAGGUGUGUGCCAGGAUUCCAUGUCUUAUGCUAAUACUCACAUUCCACAUACCGGCUCUUGCUGGUACUGCCUUUAGGCUUUUAGAAGGCCGUGCUUUUACCCUCCCUGGCUGCACCCCUUACUACAGGGUGAGGAGACUGUGGCACCUAGGGGAUGUGUCCACUCAGAACCACAUUACCACAUUGCUCCCUUCUAGACCACACUCUGGAUAACUUGGACCACCUCAGGAUUCCUUGCUCAAAUGCCCCAAGCCCACUUCCAGGGCCUGCCUAGACUUCUUUUCCAGACCCAUCCUCCCAAGGGCAAACCAUGCCACUAGUGUGUGUGGUCAGCCUGAGAGGUAGCCAAGGAUAGCCUAUUUGCAGAGGCAUGCACAGGGUAUGGAUGCGUGAACUGGGGCAUCUACAUGCAUGCAUGAGAGGGCCUUCUCAUUCAGAGUCAAGGAUGGGAGGAGAGGGGAACGUUUCAGGUUGGGGUCCAGCUCUCUCCAUGCCUCUUUGUCCUGGUGCAGAACUCUAAGGAUUCCAAGCAUUGCACAUUCAAACCUGACCUUCAGGUCUUUUGGAAGUUAGAGUUAUCAAGGUAGGAAAAUGGAACAUAUUUUAUUUAACAGUUUGACUUGACUUAUAACUUUCUUUUUUUUUUUUUUUUUUUUUUAGACGGAGUCUCGCUCUGUUGCCCAGGCUGUAGUUCAGUGGUGCAAUCUCAGCUCACUGCAAGCUCUGCCUCCCGGGUUCAUGCCAUUCUUCUGCCUCAGCCUCCCGAGUAGCUGGGACUACAAGCGCCUGCUACCACGCCUGGCUAAUUUUUUGUAUUUUUUAGUAGAGACGGAGUUUCACCAUGUUAGCCAGGAUGGUCUCGAUCUCCUGACCUUGUGAUCCACCCAUCUCGGCCUCCCAAAGUGCUAGGAUUACAGGCAUGAGCCACCACGCCCAGCCAACUUAUAACUUUUAUAUCAUUAGACACAUGGAAUAUGGGCCUCCGUUUGUACUCUUGCCCUUGGCCCCACAAACGUUAGGGAGAGGCCUGGCUCCUGCAAUGUACUAUUUACCUGUUGUAAAGAAUAGCCCUUCAAAAGUAUUAUUCUAAGUCUGUUUGACAUAAUAGGUCCAAAUUGUAUUACAACAUGGUAAAAAAACAACAAUCCAUUAACAAUCCUCUUUGGAUUUCUAAAAAAGUUUUGGUAGCCUAAACUCUUUCCCCAAUUUUUGAUAUCACUUCAUGUCAUUUUAGAGAGUAAGUUUUCCUGUUUUAUUAAUGUUUAUAUUUAAGCUGAAUUUUCUAAAAGAAUUGUGAGUGUUUUUAUUCUAUUGUGACAUUCAAGGUACGCAGCUGACCCUUGAGUAUAAGUCCCAUCAACUAAGUAAACAUCAAACAUAUCUUCAGUACAUCCCUUUAGAUCUUGACAGUUAUUUAUCACUUUUUCAUAAGUUCCAAAGUUCCAGAUGGUUACUGAUACAUUCAGGCUGACCACUGCUAGAUUUGAGACUUGUCCCACAGAUCUGCACUGUAUCUUCAUACCUUCAUUAAUAGAUCUUUUAUUCUUUUUUUUUUUAAUUUUUUUGGAGACGUGGGUCUCAUUAUGUUGCCCAGGCUGGUCUUGAACUUCUGGCCUCAAGUGAUCCUCCCAACUCAGCCUCCCAAAGUAUUGGAAUUAUAGGUGUGAGCCACUACACCCAGCCUAGAUCUCAAUCAGGUGACACUGAAAAUGUUUGGUCAUAAACCACAGUGAAGGAAGGGGAGGCAGCUGUUAGAUCAUCUGCCUUGACCCACAGUCCUCAUCCAUUUGCACCUUGGCAAGCCCUCUACUACAUCUGAAUCUCGAAAUGGGGGAUAACCUCUUGGGAGAGUCUAUGCUAGUACCCUUCUAGUAGUAGUUUACAAUCUGCCAACAAAUCUUGAAGCCUUAUUUGGUUGAUAUCAAUUUGAGAGGUGGGAGGUUCAGUUUCCAAAGAGUCAGGAAAGAGCAUUCAUCUAGGCUUGAGAAGCCUCCAUUUCCUAACUCAAGAGUUCUGAUUAGGUUGUUGGUUGAGUGACACAAGGCAAUCAUCUCACUUUUCUGUUCCUGAGCUUCUCCUUUUAUAGAAUGUGGGCAGGAGUGUGGAGAGGGAGAAUUUAUUUCAUUUCCUGUUUUCCAAACUUACUAAACUGUGGAAACUUUUUCUUUUGCAGCAUUGGGCAAAACUGAUGUUCUAAGGAACAUUCUUUAGGAAAGGUUAGCCAGAUCCGUGGUUCUCAACAGGCAUGUGGUACACAUUUAAUAAUGUCUGGAGACGUUUUUGGUUGUCACAACUGGGGAUCCAGGGAUGCUGCUAAACAUCCUGCAAUGCCUAGGACAGCCCUCCACAACGGAGAAUUAUCCAACUCAAAAUGCCAAUCAUUCUAAGGGGUUGAAAAACUCUGGACUAUAUGAACUAUCUCAAUUCUCUUUCAACACUAACAUUUAAAUGUGGUGUUUCUUGUUUUUUAAACACACAAAAUUUUAUUUCUGUUUUACACAAAGUCAGCUAUGGGUAUGGAUGAAUCUGCGGACAGUUUUCUUCCAUGUGUUGGCUCCAUAUUUCAGCUGCUUUGAUCUUUUUGACAUCUUAUCAAUGUGUUCUUCUAUGAUUUCCUUGGCAGAGAAAGAGAAAGCAGAGAGAAUCAUGUGCUGGAUCUUAAAUGCUUCUACGUGGAUGUAGUAAAUGUCUCUUCUACUUUUUUUAAAUAAGAAGUGUAUUAAAAUAUAAUCCAUGUAUCAUAUAAUUUACUCAUUUAAGGCAUAAAAUUCGGCUGGGUAUGGUGGCUCACACCUGUAAUCCCAGCACUUUGGGAGGUUGAGGUGGGGUGAAUCUCUUGAGCCCAGGAGUUUGAGACCAGACUGGGCAACAUGGCAAAACCCCAUCUCUACAAAAAAUACAAAAAUUAGCCAGGUGUGGUGGCACGCACCUGUAAUCCCAGCUAUUUGGGAGGUUGAGGUGGGAGUAUUGCUUGAGUUUUGAAGGCAGAGGUUGCAGUGAGCCAAGAUUGUGCCACUGCACUCCAGCCAGGGUGACAGAGUGAGACUGUCUCAAAAAAAAUUUUUCAGCUAAAAUAAAGUGUAAAACUCUGUAGUUUUUAGUGUAUCCACAAAAUGUGUGCAAUCGUCUCUACACUCAAUUUUAGAACAUUUGAAUCACCCCCAGAAGAAACACUGUACCUAUUAACAGCCAUUCCCAAUUUUCCCUCAACACCUCCACCUCAGCCCUAGGCAACCACUAACCUAUUUUCUAUCUCUAUAGGUUUACCUAUACUGGAUAUUACAUAUAAAUGGAAUCAUGUCCUUUGUAACUGUCUUCUUUCACUUUGCAUAAUGUUUUCAAGGUUCAUUCAUGUUGCAUCCUUCUCAAUAUUUCAUUUUUAUUGCUGAAUAAUAUUCCAUUGUAUGAAUAUAACACAUUUUAUUUAUCCAUUCAUCGCUUGAUGGAUAUAUGAGCCAUUUCUACUUUUUAGAUAUUCUGAAUAAUGCUGCUAUGAAUACUUAUAUGCAAGUUUUUACAUGGACGUAUGUCUUCAUUUCUCUUAGGUUAUAUAUCUAAGAAAGGAAUUACUGAAUCAUACGAUAACUUUAUGCUUAGACUUUUGAGAAACUGCCAGACUGCUCUCCAAAAUGACUGUGCCAUUUUACAUUCCCAAAAGUAAUGUAUGAAGUUUCUAAUUUUUCCACACCCUCACCAACACUUAUUAUCUGUGUUUUUGAUUCUUGCCAUCCUAGUGUGUGUGAAGUAGUUUCUCACUGUGAUUUGUAUUUGAAUCUUCUUGAAGGCUAAUGAUUUUGAGCAUCUUUUCAUGUGCUUAUCGUCUCUUCUUUAUAUAGAUGUCUAUUCAGGUCCUUGGCCCAUUUUUAAUUUGGGCUAUUUGUCUUUUCAUUACUGAGUUUUAAGAAUAAUUUUUGUUUAUUCUAGACACACAUCCCAUAUUAGAUAGGUGAUUUGCAACUAUUUCCUCCCAUUCUGUAGGUUUCUUGCUGGUGUCCUUUUAGGAAUAGAAGUUUUACGUUUUGAUGAAGUCAAGUGUGUAUGUUUUCUUUUGUUGCUUGUGUGUUUGAUCUCAUAUCAAAAAACCAUUGCACAAUCCAAGGCCACAAAGAGUUAUGUCUAUGUUUUCUAGAUUUUUAUCAUUUUAGUGCUUACAUUUAGGUCUUUGAUCUUUUUGUGUUAAUUUUUUAUAUUGGGUGUGAGGUAAAAAUCCAACUUCAUUCUUUUGCAUGUGAUAUCCAAUUAUCCAGAACCACUUGUUGAGAAGGCUAGUUCUUCCUCACUGGAUUAUCUUGGCACCCUUGUCAAAAAUAAGUUGACUGUAGAUGUGAAGGUGUAUGAGUUGCUAAAAUACCUCUUCUGUGAUAUUUAUAAUUUAUUUUCUAAAAGGAUAAGUUAUAGGUCACAUCUCAGAUUACAAUGAUUCAAGUCAAAAAGUUCAAAGUAGAAUUUACUUUCAAAAUUGUUUGUUCCCCCAGAGCUAGUUAAUGCCCCCAGAGCUAGUUAAUAAACUCUAUUUGCAGAUAAAAGCAUGCUUUCCCUUCAAAGGUAUUUCACCAAGACGGGAAACACAAAACUAAAUAAGCUGGGAAACUGAGGAUACACAGAGGGUCUCCUUAAUCUCUGGAUAUGUGGUCUAAUGUAUCCUUUUUGUGCUCAUUUUUUCCCUUUUAUCCAGAAAUACAACAUUACCUUUUUAUAAAAUUCCUGGAGAUUGAUCAUAUCUCUAGUGUUUGGGUCUAGAAUGUAUUUUUUGGCCAAAACAUCUCUUUACCCCACUUCCACAUGUGGAAAGAAAGAAAACAUGGUACUCUAAUCUCACAAGUGAGGCAUGGGGUUGUUUCCUGAAAUGAGGCAAGGACUUUGGACAAGAACAUGUUUGGACUUGAGAUGGUUUUUGUAAACCCAAAUGAUAUUAGUUCUAGUCUGUCUUUAUCGCUCACUGUAUUUUGUUUUCAUUCAUACUAAUGAAUAAUAGACUUGAUUGUGUUCCAUCAUUUAUGUCAUUAAUAUUUCCUUUAUGUUUGAGUGCUGUGCAGUUCUCCUUGAAACUUGUAUGGAGAUUGAACUUGAUAGUGAUUUAAAGUAAUUAAUUCAUAUGUCAGUUGUUAGCAAGGUCUAGUAAUUAAAAUCUACUUUAGAGUAAGUUAUUAACUCUCCAAAAUAAAAACACUUUAUCAACUUACCAGUUUUAGCUAUUUAUUCUACUUGACAGAUGAGAUAGGGUAGUUAUUGACUGUACAUAAUCACCUAUGUACUUUCACCACUGAACACUAGGGUCAAAUUGAAGUCUAGGUUAUUAAAGUUCAUAGUUUAAAUCUAGAAUAAACCAGUUCAGGUUGAUGGGAGAAGGAAGAGAGUGUCCUUGGAUCUUGUUAUCUUUGCAAUAUUGUCUCCUUAAAUUUUGCAAAGUCCAUUUUUGCUGUCUUCAAAAUUCUCAAACUUCUAAACUAAAAACACCCUAGACCAAGGAUUUCAUAUUGAGAUCUAAGAUAUCAAAGUGCUAUAUUGUUUAUGAUUUAUUUUAUAAUGCUUUUUAGUAAAACAAACUUUAGAUGCCAUGAUUUCCUUGUGAACAGGCUGGAGGGAAGAAAACAAGUUACACGUAAUGCAUGGGACACAAGUGCAGGCCUUUUAUUUGCAGGCCUAAACUAGUCACAAGUUUCCAUCUUAUGAAAGCAAGUUUUCUUUUAUUCUGCUUUGUUUUUUGUCUUGAUAUCUGGUUACAUUUAUUCAGUUUGAGGGCAUCUUAUAACGGGCCCUUUACUUCCCUCCAUUUGGCUUGUGAUGAACUACUACCAAGGUCAAUCCAGGUCUGACUCUUUCAUGGAGUCAGUGUGGCUGGGGUAGUGUUUCCCAAGCCAAGCUUGUCAUCAGAAUUACCUGGGGUGGUUUGUAAAGAACUUUUCAGGCCUCAUUCCAAACCUACUAAAUUUAGAUCUCUGGUGUGGAGCCUGUAAAUCUGUAUGUUUGAAACCUUCCCAAGGUGAUUCUGAUGUCCAGUCAUAUUUGGGUCAUAGUCCAGAAUGCAGUCAUGCAUUGCUUAAUGACAGGGAUUUGUUCUGAAAAAUGUGUCAUUAGGUAAUUUCUUCAUUGUAGAACCAUCAUAGAGUGUGAUUACACAAACCUAGAUGGUAUAGCCUACUACACACCUAGGCUAUGUGGUAUAGCCUAUUGCUCCCAGGCUACAAACCUGUACAGUAUGUUGCUGUACUGAACACUGUAAGUAAUUGUAAUACAAUGGUAAGUAUGUGUGUAUCUAAAUAUAUCUUAACAUAGAAAAGGUGCAGUAAAAAUACAGUAUUCAAAUCUCAUGAAACCACCAUCAUAUAAGAGGUCCGUAGUUGAACUGAAAUGUUGUUGUGUUGCCCAUGAUUGUACUUGGAUUUCAGGACUCUGCAGAUGCUUGGAGGUCUUAUGGGUUUGGCCAUGGGGUAUUGCCUCUGAGAAACUGCCAUCUGCUUGCCAGAGAUUCUGAAAAGACCAGAGUUGCCUAUUUGCAGUCUGUUCUUCAAGACUAUCUACUAUGUUGGCAAAAAGGCCUAGGUUUCUUCUCUGUCCAUUCUCAAUCCCUCAAUCUGUCCUUGUGACUUACUUGCUCCUUCAAGCUGCCCAGUAGUGGCGCUGGUGAAAAUAAAAUAGACUUUGGUCCUACAGACCUGUCAUGGACUCUCAGCUCAGCCUCUUCUAUGUGUGCCAUUUGCCUCAUCUGUAAAUGUAGUUAAUAUUGUCCUCUCAAAGAUGUUAGGAAAACCAGAAGAAUGUAUUUAUGUAACACCUAGAACAAGUAUACCCUGCAUUAGGCAUUAUUUGUUUGGUUUUACCUGUCCAUCUCAAUGAACAUGCUGGGUUAAUGAAGUGUGUUCAUCAAUUUUCCCUGAUCGUAGCCUUUUAGAUUGCUCUGGGCAGUGUUUCUCAAAGUAGGAGACACAGACCACCUACCUGUGAUUGACAGGAGGACAGAAAUCUGCUCUAAUGCACUCUAACCUUCUGCACUUUUCACUUUUUAUUGAAAUAUACAUAUAGAAAGGUGUAUUUAUUGUAAGUGAACAGCUCAGUGGCUUUUCCUAAACUGAACACACCCAUGUAACCAGCACCCAGAUCAAGAAACAGAACAUUACCAGCACCCCCGAAGCCUCCUCUGCAGGCACACUUUAAGAACCACUGGUCUAGGAAGAGCCCAGCUGGGGCACUGUCCUAAACCACCGUCCCGCCUUUACCUAGCAGGCCAAAUCUGCAUGCAGUGUCAGCUAUUCCCAAUCUGAGAGGCUGGGCCUAUAGCCUCACAUACACCCUUCAUAGUGAUGCAACUUCAUUUGUAAAAAGGGUCACAAAGGGUGUUUCUAUAAUUUAUAUUCCUAGCAUACACCCUAAACUGCUUAAAGCAAAUGAAUUCAGGUCCCAGCCAAAAAGGAGUGGAGACCAGUCACUGCCUGAAAGCAUUGGCUUAUUACAACACUCCAGCAUUUUCUCACGGCAGGGUGAAUGAGGUGGAUUCUAGUGUAAUUACCUUUAUGUAAUUGAAAACUAAAUCACCGAUGGCUGCAGAGUUUAAAUAUCCAUUUAAAUACUUUCAAUUUAUUCAGCUUAUUUUUUCAGGACAUGCUACUACCAAAUAGGCUAUUAAUUUUUCUAAUGGAUUAAAAUCUGAAUAGGUACAUUAAAAACUAGCAUAGCUCAAAUAAAUGUCCUCUUUUUCCAAAGAUUAUUAAAGAGAGUUUUCUUUUUCUUUAACCCAGCUAUUCAAAUACUCUAUUAGACCAGGACCUGUAAUAAUACAGGCCUUGUCCAGAAGGGAUCAGGUUUCUAUGUUAUAUAAUUAGGCAAGACUUUAAAUAGUAAGACAUGCACCUGUGGUGCUUUUGUCUCUAACUCCACAAAUUUCAACAUGCAUACAAAUCAAGAAGGGGUGGGGGUGUUACAUGCAAAUUCUGCUUCAGUGGGUGUUGGAGCCUGAGAUUCUGGCUUUCUAACAAGCUCCCAGGUAAGUGCUGAUGCUGCUGCUUUGAGGGCCACACACCUUGAGGAGUAGGAAGAGUACUCAUACUGGAAGAGUAUUCAGCACGGACUGGAAUCCUGCAUACAUAUCUGAGCUCUGUGUUCUGGUAUGUAUAUAGACUUUUUAAAAAAAUUAGUAGAGAUGGGGUCUCACCAUUUUGGCCAGGCUGGUCUCAAACUCCAGGGCUCAAGAGAUCCUCCUGCCUUGGCCUCCCAAAGUGCUGAGAUUACAGGCAUGAGCCACUAUACCUGGCUUAUAUAGACUGCUUCUAAGGUCCAUUCUAACUGUACAAUUCCAUGAUUCAGUCACUGUUUGGCUAUUAACUAAUUUUUUUAGGCUUCUGAUUCUCAUUGUUUAUAAGCUGCUAUAUUAGAGAAUGUUCUGUACUGGAAGGCCAGAUAAAAAGUCUUACUUAUGGCCAGUAAGUUUUAUUUUUCAAUCUUCUACAAGUCUGCCUCAACCCAUGGGAAAUCUUGGCUAAUAGUAACAUGAUACUGGGCUUGGACCAUAAACUAAACUUGAGUCAGCAAUGUAGGGCUUUGGUUAGAUAAGCAAGAAUGAACUUGGGAAUAUAACCAAAAGAAAGGGACAGCUAAUCCUACCAGAACAGGCAGUAUUUAUAUGAAUACUUUUUUCAAAUAUCCACAACUGGGAAAAGCUGCUGAACACAUAAAGAAAAGUUAAAAGCACGGCAUUAUUUAGCUAGUGAAAAGAGAACAAAGAAUGCCUUAAGAAUAAUUUUUGAAUGGCAGCAGAAACCAGCAUAUCCUGUGAAGUAAAUGCAUUUUCAGGACCUCAAAAUAGAUUUAGGUUGCCUCUAAAGCAGAACUUUCCCAUGAUAAUGAUGAUCCUAGGUGGUAGGAUUGCCAAUGGUAAUUUUCUUUCCCAAAGAUUCUUACAACCAACCAUAAACCUACUAGAUAACCUAUCAGUUGUGUUAUUAACUGAUAUAUCAGUUGGGGUUCAGUGCAGACACUUCUCUAGGUACUGAAUGCUAAGAAUUAUAUGCUUAAAAAUUAUAUGCUCUUACCAUUAGAAGAGCUGGAAGAAGGCUGAGGGAGAUGCCUUCUUCCAGCCCUUCUAAUGGUAGGAGCAUUAAGAGGGAUGCUGUUGGGCUCGCAGUUCAGUCCACACAGCUACAAUCUAGAGGUCAGGAAGCUAUAAAGUCCACUGCUGGCAUCACAGUCAUUUCUCACAGAUGAAGUUAGUGGCAAUGCAGAGGCACAGAAAGUCUGGUCAUUAAAAACCACAUUUAAUGUUGCACGUACAUCAACAACUACCAGUGAAAACUAAUAGGCAGCCAGGCAUGUUGGUGCAUGCCUGAAGUCCCAAACAUUUGGGACACUGAGGUGGGAGGAUCCUUGAGCCCAGGAGGUCUAGGCUGCAGUGAGUUGUGAUUGUGCCACUGUACUCCAGCCUGGACAGAACAAGAAUCUUUCUCAAAAAAUAAAUAAAUAGAGAGAGAGAAGGAGGGAGGGAAGGAGGAAGGUAAAAAGAGAGAGAGAGAAAGGAAGGAAGGGAAAGAAGAGGAAGGAAGGAAGGAAGGAGAAGAGAAAGAAAAGGAAGGAAGGAAGGAAGGAGAAAGAGAAAGAAGGAAGGAGAAAGAAGAGAAAGAAAAGGGAGGAAGGAAGGAAGGAAGGAAAACUAAUAGGCAGGGGAAAUAGCCUCUCUCUUCCUUUUACCUUUCUAAUUUCGCAUCAUUAUAUCUGACUGGCACAGUUUAAAUUGUUUAACAAAUCCUAUUAGCAGCUCAGCCUAGAAUUAUAGUUAUUGAGCUUUGUUCCUAACUCAGUAUAAAUCUAUCUUUAUUGAAGUAUAGCAUACAGACAGAAAAAUGCACAAAUUAUAAUCAGAGAGCUUGAUGAAUUUUCAUAAAGUAAACACACCUACAUAUUGCUAGCACCCAGAUUGGGAGGCAGAAACUACUACCAUACCAGAAGCUCCCUUCAUUAUCUUUUCUAGGCAUUAUCCUCCCUCAAAUUGACUGUAAUCUUGGCUUCUAAUACCCUAGACCAAUUUGGCCUAUUUUUAAACAUUAGACAAAAUGGAAUGAUACAGUGUGUAUUAUUUUAUUACUGGCUUUUCCUACUCAACUAUUUGUGAGAUUCAUUCAUGUUGAGAGUAAUAAUAGUAUCUUCAUUUUCAUUGCUGUGUAGUAUUCCAUUGUAUGAAUAUAACACAAUUUAUACGUUCUACCAAAGAUGGACAUUUGGGUUGUUUCCAAUUUGAGAUUACUGCAACUAGUGCCACUGUGAACAUUGGUGAACACACACACACACACAUAUUUCAGUUGGAUAUAUAAAAGUGUAAUUUCUCUGAUGCAUGGGGUUCAGCUUGAGUAGUACUGCCCAACAGUUUUUCACAUCUUCAUCAAAACUUGAUCUUUUCCAUCUUUUAAAUUUUAGCCAUUCUCUUCAAAGACUAAUGCAGUGUAUUGAAUCUCAUUGUUGUUUUCAUUUUUCUGAUAUCAAAUAAACACCUUUUUAAUUGUUUAUUGGCCAUUUGGGUACCCUCUUCUGUGAAAUGCCUAUUCAUGUGUUUUGUGUGAUUUUCUAUGGGCUUGUCUGCCUUUUCUUGUUUUUAUAGUCCUUUAUUCUGGAUAUGAGUCCUUUGUCGGGUAUAUGUAUUGAUAAUAUCUUUUGCCACUAUGUGGCUUUUUGUUUUUUGUUUUUUUUUUUUGAGAUGGAGUCUUGCUCUGUCACCCAGGCUGGAGUGCAGUGGCGUGAUCUCGGCUCACUGCAAGCUCCUCCUCCCGGGUUCACGCCAUUCUCCUGCCUCAGCCUCCCAAGUAGCUGGGACUACAGGUGCCCGCCACCAUGCCCAGCUAAUUUUUUGUAUUUUUAGUAGAGACGGGGUUUCACCAUGUGAGCCAGGAUGGUCUCAAUCUCCUGACCUUGUGAUCUGCCUGCUUCGGCCUCCCAAAGUGCUGGGAUUACAGGCGUGAGCCACUGUGCCCAGCCCACUCUGUGGCUUAUUUUAUUCACUCUUUUAAUAGUGUAUUUUGAAGAAGACAUUCAUAAUUUUGAAUUAGUUUAGUUUAUCAGAUGUUUUCCUUUAUGGCUUAUUUAUUUUGUGUGUCUCCAGUUUAAGAAAUCUUUGUGGAUUCCAAAAUCGUGAGUAUUCUUCUGUUUUCUUGUGAAACUGUUAUUGUCCCACUUAGAUUUACAAUUGUGACUUUUAUGGAUGGUGAAAAGUGGGAAAUAUAGUUUUGAGCCUUCCAGUUUCUAUAAUUCUGUAGAGUAAAAAUGGAGUAUAUAGAGAAGGUAGUGAAAAUGUAUGCAAGAAACCAUAUCUAACACAGUUAACUUAGGUGACUGUUUACGCUGUAAAACAGUGAUAUGUUUAGGCUUUGUGUCCCCACUCAAAUUUCAUCUUGAAUUGUUUUUGUUUUUGUUUUUUGAGAUGGAGUCUCGCUCUGUCGCCAUGCUGGAGUGCAGUGGCACGAUCUCAGCUCACUGCAACCUCUGCUUCCAGGGUUCAAGCACUUCUCCUGCCUCAGCCUCCUGAGUACCUGGGACUACAGGCACACGCUGCCACGCCCGCUAAUUUUUGUUGUUGUUGUUUGUAUUUUAGUAGAGAUGGGGUUUCACCAUGUUGCCCAGGCUGGUCUCAAACUCCUGAGCUCAGGCCAUCUGCCCGCCUCGGCCUCCCAAAGUGCUAGGAUUACAGGUGAGUGCCCGGCCUCUUAUCUUGAAUUGUAAUUCCCGGGUGUUGAGGGAGAGACCUGGUGGGAGGUGAUUGGAUCAUGGGGGAGGUUCCCCCAUGCUGUUCUUAUGACAAUGAGUGAGUUCUCAUAGAUCUGAUGGUUUUAUAAGGAGCUCUUCCCACUUUGCUUCUCUCUCCCUCCCUCCUGCUGCCUUGUGAAGAAGGUGCCUGCUUCCCCUUCACCUUCCACCAUGAUUGUAAGUUUCCUGAGGCCUCCCCAGACAUGUGGAACUGUGAGUCAAUUAAAUCUCUUUUCUUUAUAAAUUACCCAGUCUCAGGUAGUAUCUUUAUAGCGGUAUAAAAACAGACUAAUACAAACAGGUAGCUCUAAAUUGUGAGUUUUUCUUAACUCCUUUGAUCUUCUGUGAUAGCGAUUUUUCACAUUUCACACUUCCCUAAUGCCAAAAAUCCACCUCCAGCAGCUGUUUUGCCUCUUUCUUAUCCUGCCCCUUGGAAGAAUGUCAUCAUUAUUGCUGCCACAGCACUGUGUUCUUUUUCAGAAGUUACAGCAAGAAUUGGUUGGCUUUCUUUCUUUUUUUUUUUUUUUCUCAGACAGAAUCUGGUUCUGUCGCCCAGGCUGAUGUGCAGUGGUGGGAUCUUGGCUCACUGCAACCUCUGCCUCCCGGGUUCAAGCAAUUCUCUCGCCUCAGUCUCUCGAGUAGCUGGGAUUACAGGCACAAGCCACCAUGCCCGGCUAAUUUUUGUAUUUUCAGUAGAGAUGGGGUUUCACCAUGUUGGCCAGGAUGGUCUCGAUCUCCUGACCUCGUGCUCCACUUGCCUUAGCCUCCCAAAGUGCUGAGAUUACAGGUGUGAGCCACCGCGUCUGGCCAGAUCUGCUUUCAAAUAAAUGAAAAGAAGACCAGGGUUAGAACUGGUGGGAAAAUGUGAAUAUUAGAAUUCUUUUAAAGAAAUAUAGUUUUACCACAUAAUCUAAGGUCGUGUGAUUAAGUACAAGGCAUUGUUCUAAAAGGCUUGAGGAAAAGUUGUUUCUCCUAAGAGGUUAAACAAGCUCAUAACCCUACCUCUCCUCACUUGCAGGCACAACCACUUCCUGUGUUUUUUUCAUGUGGAGCAACUGAUGUUUUCUCAAUCUUAUAUAAGAUGUUAUACAAGGCCGGGUGUAGUGGCUCAUGCCCGUAAUCCCAGCACUUUGGGAGGCCGAGGUGGGCAGAUCACCUGAGGUCAGGAGUUUGAGAUCAGCCUGGCCAACAUGGUGAAGCCCCAUCUCUACUAAAAUACAAAAAAAAAAAAAAAUUAGCUGGGCAUGGUGGAAAACACCUGUGAUCCCAGCUACUCAGGAAGCUGAACCUGGGAAGUAGAGGUUGCAGUGAGCCGAGAUCGCACCACUGCACUCCAGUCUGGGUGACAAAGCAAGACUCCAUCUCAAAAAAAAAAAAAAAAAAGUUAUACAAAAGAGGUUUCAAGCGAGUUCCCUACCUUCCUCAGAAUCAGAUUUUUCCCCAUAGGCUCCUCUAGAAAUUAUGGCAUGGCUACUGGAACAGUAAAAUAUAUCUAGAGCAAGAUUCUUCUCAACCCUUUUGUGCCUUAUCCCCGCUCUCUCCUUUGAUAUUUGGAUAUAUCAUUUGGUUCCCUAAUAAUAAUAAUAGCUGAAGUGGGUUGUGAAAUAUGACUUUUUUAUUAUUCAACCCAAUUUCUGUUCCAUGGCCACAUAUCUCUGGGCUGUUAGGAAAAAUCAUUUUACGAUAUAUUUUCAACUCAUACCACAUAGUAGCAGGAUCUUACACAGUGCCAAGGCUUCUGGAAUGGGGCAGGUAUCUUAGCUGGUCCUUAACUAGUUCACAAUGAUUCAGCCAAGAUUCAUAUACAUUGUAGGGGUCCCAUGGCCCCUUUAUGUCUAGGACCUUCUAUUAUUUCUGAGUUACCCUAUUGUUUCUGAGUUAUGUUCAUCUGCAUAAAUGCAUCUGCAUAGUCAUUCCCCUAAUUCCUACUUGCCAGGCACUCUUCUAAUUACUCCAUGUGCAUUGUCUCAUUUAAUCCUCAUAAUAACCCUAUAUGACAGUGUUGCUAUUAUUAUUUACAUUUUAUAAAUGAGGACAUUGAGGUUAGGUAAUAUGCCCGAAGCCCUUAUAUCUCAGUAGUGCUGAAGUUUUUGCUGUGGAUUGACUCUCUACUCUUAAAAGUGUGAGUGCUCAUUAAUAAUCCAUUGGCACACUCACUGUGCUUCUCAAAUCUUAGACAAACCUCUUGUCAUCACCUUGAAGAAUUCAUCUUUGCAAAGACCCAUUACACCAAGGCAUGCCAGUCAUCUUAGUUAAUCUUCAUAUUCAGUUCAUGAAGCAAAUAUUUCUAGAGACUGGCUAUAUGCCCAGCACAAGUUCUGAUGACAGAAUGGGCUAAGGAGCUACAGUAGCACAAGAGUCCCUUUCGUCGAAAUCUUAAAAGCAAAUUUUGUCCAAGUUAUCAAUUUUAUCUAAUGGAAUUUAACUAAAUUAGAAAGAAACCUAAGUCCUUCAGUCACUAACCCAUAGAUUUAAUACUUGGGACUCAGACAUAUGAACAUUGUUGUUCUUGAUGGCCUUAUUUUCUGGGUCAUCUCCCAGAAAUAGCAUAUUCUUAUGCUAAUUUGAGUGCUACUAAACCCAGAAGGGCCCACAUUCACCCACCCCUCACUCCCCCAUGGUUCAGUAGGCCUCAAGUCUCAAUUUUCCAAUUAUCUAAUAAAUUGAAGGCUUCCAUUGGGAGUAGGAUGAGGAUGGAAUCUUAAGGAAAUUGAAAGUGCCAUUUCAGAGUCAAUAUAGUUUUAGUAGGUUUUAGGGAUGAACCUGGUACCUAACCACUAAAUAUAAGGCUUUUAAAGGAAUCUAUGUCCAUGUCCCUAAAAAAACAAUUUAAAACCCAGUAUGGUUAUAUUCCUCAAUUAAGAACCAUGUUAUAUUCCUUAUAUUUAUUGGUACCUUAAUCAUUAAAAACUUGACCACUUUACAGUGAACUUCUAGUAUUUUCUCUACUUUUUACUCUUCUAGAAGACAGUAGAUAUUUCUGUCCUGAUACCAGCUCUUGACUUGAGCAAAACUGUGCUUCUAGCUACUCAAGGGCAGACAGAGCUCUCUGGAAGGGACCAUUGAAGAGUUUAUAACAAUGUUUUACAAAGUUCAAAUUACCCUUGCUUAUCUGGAAUCUUUUGAAAAUUAAUCCCUAAGUGGCUGAAUGUAAGAAAACUUACUGUGGGGCUAGUUUUACUGAAAUAUUUUGUCCUAGAUUUUUGUGACCAUGAGUGUCUCCUUCUCCCCUGGAGAAGGAUAUCUGUUCUAUGUCAUUCUCACUUCCUAGAGAGGAGAAAAUCAGAACUAUUUCCUCUACUCUGUCAGGUAGGUCUAGUCAAACAGUCCAUCAUUCUGAUAGCAGAAUAUCAGGACUUCAUAACAAGAAACAUAGAAUCCCUAACCCCAGAGCGUAAUCAGCUCAUCUCAUUGCUUCCCCUUUAGACUAAGAGCAAUUUUAGUAGAAUGAGUUCCCUGGACACAGCACCUGCAGGAUAUGUGAAGGUGCUUUAUAAAUUUUUUGUUUGUUUGUUUUUGAGACAGGGUCUUGCUUUGCAGUGAACACAGUUCACUGCAGCCUCGACCUCCUGGGCUUAAGCAAUACUCUCACCUCAGCCUCCUGAACAGCUGGCACCACCACACCUGGCUAAUUUUUGUAUUCUUUGUAGAGACAGGGUUUUGCCAUGUUGUCCAUGCUGGUCUCAAACUCCUGAGCUCAAGUGAUCUACCCACCUCAGCUUCCCAAAGUGCUGGGAUUACAGGCAUGAGCCACAGUGCCCGGCCUUGCUUUAUAAACUAAAGCAGCAUAUAACACUGCAGGUUGUUGAAAUUUUGUCUUUAUAUUUCCUUUGCUUUUUAGCCUAGAAAGUACUCUGACCAGCAAAAACAACCACAUUACACAUCUUAAAACCAUUGCUAGAUUUCAGUGGUGGUGGUAUGAUAGUAGCAAUAGCAAGAGAAACAAAAAGAAGAAUGUAAGGGUGGGGUAUGUGUAUGUCCAUGCCCAUGUACUGGCUUUUCUACAUGCUCCAAGAAGGUUUCUCAAAGGUAUCCAAUGUUCAAAUGGGAAGGAGCACAGAUCAGAUGGGGAAUCUGCCCAGGUGUCAGAGAAUUCAUGUUAAUCUUCUGGCCAAAAUAACUAUCCAUUCCAAGUUCAUGUUAUUAUUUUUUGAAAAAAUAACAACCAUUUUCAUUGCUAAUAUUCUUCAAAGACUUGCAGAGAUUUUACCCACUUCUGUAAAACUGUUUAAGAUUUCUUAAGUUAGCUCUUAAGAACUUAUCUUAAGAUAGCUCUGUCUUAAGAGCUGAGAUAAAUUCUAGUCUGGAAGUCAGAAUGACCCAGAACAGAUGCCCUUUCUCAAUUCCACAUUAAUGGAGACCUUAGGCUGGGUUCCACCUCCUUAAAAAAAGGCAGGGCUGUGUAUGGACCCAGUAAAGGGUGGAGAGACAAGGUUGGUAGUGACUCACUUCAGUUUUUGGAAGGAGGCGGAUUAAGCUUCCACCCCCACAAGCCUAAUGCUGGGAACUCCCACUUUGGAAGAUGAGGCAGAUCUUGACAUGAAAGCAGUCUGAAGUAGCGUCCCACCCUAGAAAAGAAGUUACAUUCAUCGUUAGAUUUGAGACUGCACAGCUAAAAUGUAAGAAACAGAAGUGUCCAGUAUAUUCAAAAGCCUUAAAAGUGCACAUUUUGUUCGCUGACCAAUGUCAAAUUUAUAACUCUAUCUUUAGGAAGUUAUUAAGCAUGUGUGCAAAGAUUAAACUACUAGGCAGAUCAUCUAAACUGUGUUUAUCAUAAAAAAAUAGAAAACCAACCUAAGUGUCCAACAAUACGAGUUUAAUUAAAUACAUCCAUAUAAUGUUAUAUUUUUCAUAUUUAAAAUAAUGUUAUAGAUACAUAUUUAUUAAUGUGGUAAGGUGUCUAAAAUAUAUUAAGGACAAACACAGGUGACCAACCAAUAUGUACUUGAUGAUUCCAUUUCAGUAAAAUAAAUACAUGUGUGAGUAUAUGCAUAUGGUUUUAAAAGCUCUUAAAGGGUUUCUGGUUCAAGGUGGUGGAUUGACUACAUGCAUUUAACUUCCCCUUGCUCUCUAAAUCUCACUAACAUGAUAUAAAAAUACACACACAUACAGUCACAAAGAACACAGUUUGUAUAAAAGUACGAAAAGAAAUUCCCCCGACUUUACCCCCCAUCCAAAUUCUAGGUCUUGCCUCCAUCUCUAGAAAUGGGAAGAAUGCUGAGGAGUAAGACAAAAGAAUGGGAAAAGGAGAUUUUGACUUUUUUUUUAAUACUUUCUGUACUGUUUGAUGCUUUCAUUAGUACUGUGUAUUUUUGUAACUUUUAAAGUUAUUGAAGGCUAAAUUUAAAAGUGGUAAUACAGUAGCAUCACAGCAUUUUGCAUUUAGCUUAACUAGCUUUCACCUAAAUUUGGGAAGGGUGGAGGGCAAACGAGAAAGAAUAAAGGAAAGAGAAAAGGGAGAGAAAGAGGAAGAAAGGGAGUGCAAGAGAGAACAUUUUAAAUGGUGUUGUGAUUUCUGCCUGACCUUUCUUCUUUCUCUCUCUCUCUCUCUAAGAGACAGUAUCUCUCUCUGUCACCCAGGCUGAAGUGCCGUGGCAUGAUCAUAACUCACUGCAGCCUCAAAUUCCUGGGUUCAAGCCAUCCUUCCCACUCAGCCUCCUGAGUAGGUGGGACUACAGGCACAUGCCACCACACCUGGCUAAUUUGUUUUUAUUUUUACAGACACGGGGUCUUGCUACGUUGCCCAGGCUGGUCUCAAACUCUUGUUCUCAAGCAGUCCUCCCACCUUGGCCUCCCAAGGCAAUAGUAUCUGAUCUUUUCAAUUAGCUUGGAUCUAACCCAAAAUAACUCUGAAAGAGCUGAUGUGAAUUUGAUCUAUUUCUGGUCCUGUGUGCUCUUCAUACGUUGAGUAUCUUGUCAUGCUAAGUGUGAUUCUAUUGUUAACAGGUCCUUUUAUUUUUAUUUGUUUAUAUACAUUUAAGUAGCAUGGCUUAUAAAUAUAACUACUUCAUUAGUUGCUCAACUAACAAAGCUUAUAUCAUGCACAUGUGUUGGGUUUUCUACAUGCUCCAAGGUGCUAUUCCAAACUUAAUGAUUUAAGGUAUUUUCAGGGGUAAUCCCAUUCCCCUCUUAAUUUAGUGGUUAACUCUCAGUAACAUGGAAAGCCAGUGCAGAAAUUAGUAAUCAGUGGUGGAAUUCAGGUGUUUUUAAUAUUCUUCCUCUCUCUCUUUAGUUCUGUUUUCAAUUUGGAUAAUAAGUAUUCCUUUUGUAGUAAGAAAACUAGGCUGGGCACGGUGGCUCAUGCCUGUAAUCCCAGCACUUUGGGAAGCUGAGGCAGGCAGAUCACGAGGUCAGGAAUUUGAGACUCAGCCUGGCCAACAUAGUGAAACCCAGUCUCUACUAAAAAUACAAAAAUUAGCCGGGCAUGGUGGCACAUGCCUGUAAUCCCAGCUACUCAGGAGGCUGAGGCAGGAGAAUUGCUUGAACCCAGGAGGCUGAGGUUGUAGUGAGCCGAGAUGGUGCCAUUGCACUCCAGCUCUGUGCGACACAGCAAGACACCAUCCAGGGAAAAAAUAAUAAUAAAAUAAAAUAACAUUAUAUCUGUAUCUAUCUACCUAUUUAUUUAUUCAGAGACAUGGUCUUAGUCAGCCUGGCUAGAGUGCAGUGGUGCGAUCACAGCUCACUGCAGACUGGAGCUCCUGGGCUCAAGCAAUCUUCCUACCUCAGCCUCCUGAGUAGCUGGGACUGCAGGUAUGCACCACCAUGCCUGGCUAAUUUUUUAUUUUUAUUUUUGUAGAGACAGGGUCUCACUAUGUUGCCAGGCUGGUCUUGAACUCCUGGCCUCAAGUGAUCCUCCCCCCUUGGCCUCCCAAAGUGUUGGGAUUACAGGUGUUAACCACUGCACUGGGCCAGAAAACUAUGUAUUUUUAAAAACUUUUUGAAAUGAUAGCUAUAGUUCUUAUUGCAACUUCACCUGGAUGAUGAGCAUCCAGGGACUCUCUUCUCUUUUCAUGACUCAACUCUAUUUUCAUAGGCAUCUCAUUUCCUUCUUCUACCACAAGUGGAGCACUUUUCAGUGAUAAGAAAUCAUAGCAUCACAAUUUUGCACCUGCUAUCCAUCCAGUUAGAAAACCCACUCAGUCCCAAUCUGUGUCAAAUAGUAUUUAUAACCAGCCCCUCAAAUGAUUUUCUCUUUUUCCUUGUGUAAAGUGCUUCCUGAAAUUAUAAGAAACUCAAAUUUAUAUUAAUCAGUAAGACUUUUUCUUCAGAAUUUGAAAUAUACAUAGAAAAGUGUUGUUUGUAGCAAAAAUGUUAAAUAGACUACUAUUUUAUGAUAUAAAUUAAAAGUCAGCCGAGAAACUUCAGAUAGUGUAGAUGAAGAACUCACAUACUGAUGAUGAAUCCAUGCUUCUGGCUGCAAAACUGAACAAGUGGGGUUGGGCCAUCCCCAAAGAACAGGUUUGAAAUCCUGGAAAGACAAUCAAGCCUUUAUCUCAGGCCUGUCGGGUAACCAAAUCCUUUGGAUCCUUUUGAAGUUAGGGAGUAAGGAGCAGUUGAGGGAUUUUUACUCUUUAGGGGACCAGGUCCUAUAGAAAUCUGCCCAACCUGGUAGCCUAACUAGGUUGCGGGGUUAAUGGUCCUGAUCAGUAGAAAGUGAGACUCCAAGACUGUGUGUUCUCUGUGGAAGAUAGACACUUGGAUAGAUACUUAAUUACAAGUUAGGGACCCAGUUUUUGUUUGUUUGGUUGGUUUUUUUGUUUGUUUGUUUUGAGACAGAGUUUCCUCUGUCAUCCAGGCUGGAGUGCAGUGGCGCCAUCUCAGCUCACUGCAACCUCCGCCUCCCGGGUUCAAGCAAUUCUCCUGCCUCAGCCUUCUGAGUAGCUGGGAUUACAGGCACCUGCCAACAUGCCCGGCUAGGGACCCACUUUUAAUACCUUAUGAUGUGAUGCAGAACAAUUUCUUUAAUCUCAUGGACUCUUAUUUUUAUAGAUUUGAAAUGGAAAUGAUGUUGUUUAUUCUGCAAAUUAAAUGAGAGGCUCCCUAUAGGUAUACAGUGCUGAGGUCCUAAUGGAUAAGAACAACCUUUAAAACAUUUAUUAAGAUAAAAAGGAUAAAAUACAUCCUGUCUAUAGUACAGUUGUUGGGUCUUUUUUAGUGUGAAAAGUGGUAGAUAAGCAGUUCCUGAGGAGCCCAGUGGGAAGCCUGGAAAGACCUUCGUGUUCUCCUUUAGUAUUUUGUAACUUGUUUACUUAUUAAACUAAUGCCUAGGCAACAAGAAUAGCAUUUUUCUUGCAUGGAAUCCAUCUCUAAGAAAACAUACACCUGGAAGCUGUCAACAACAAUAUGCCAACAAGCCAGGGUGAGCCCAUUGACAGAGUUGGCAUGGAUCAGCUUUAAUCCUUCCUCACGGCACUGAAGCAAAGGACUUAGAAGAGUACUUGUCAGGGGUUCUCACAGGAAUUCCACUCUGCCUGGCUAUCCAAAGAUCACAGCCACCUCCCCUGUCACCUGAUGUCAGGGCUCCUAAGGAUGCUUUACAGAAAGCUCUGCUGAACCAAACUCGAGAUCUCAAAUAGCACAAGUCCAGAUAUAAAUUCUGAAAAUCCUUCUUGAGAUGAAAAUCUCUCUCCCCAGAUCCACCAAGCUCCCUGAUGACAUGCCAACUUGGUCUCUUUGUUCAUUAUCUCCAAGAUCUCAGGCUGGCUGCUAAGCCACUGCAGCAGCCUCCUUACCUGAUGUCCCACUUAUACCCCCAAACUCAACACAACUUCUCUAGGAUAUUCUGUCCAUUGCACCAUUUUACCCCAAAUUCUUAGGUGUACUAAAGUUUUGUUCCAGCUUGGAUUGUGCACAGUAACUCCAAUACUAUCUUCACCACUAUUCCCAUGCCUCACCCCCACUAAACCUGCUGGGCUGGGCCUGUACUGAAUCUCCGCACCACCCUCACCCACUCCACCCUACCUCACCAUCUUUGUUGGAUCACUGCUCACUUGCAGAAAGUCAAGUGUAAACCCUGCUAGUCAUUUCCACUCUUUUUGGCCUUUAAUCACUCAUGAUAGCCCUUUAAUGUGUCCCUUAGACUCUAUGAUAUUUGAUAGUAAAAGAGGUAUUGAAAGCAUAUUUUCUGGUCCUCCUGCUUUCAGAUUCUUCCUUCUGUCCCUACUUCUGAGAUGGAGACUGAGUAGGGAGUCACCAAACUGAUCUGGAGAAGAUGAACUAGAUAUGCUCAGAUUAUGGACCCUGGCCUCAGUGGGGAGAAACUGGAAUUCUAACCCACCAGUCCAACUGUCAUAUCCAAUUUUAAACUCUGGCUGCGAACCAUGGCUCACACCUGUAAUCCCAGCAUUUUGGAAGGCCAGGCAGAAGGAUUGCUUGAGUUCAGGAGUUCAAGACCAGCCUAGGCAACAUAGUGAGACACUGUCUCUACAAAAAUAAAAAUAAAAAACAUGUCUGGCAGCAGACUUCUCAGUGGAAAGCUUACAGGCCAGGCGAGAGUGGCAUGACAUAUUUAAAGUGCUGAAGAAAAAAAAAAACUUUUAUCCUAGAAUAAUAUAUCCAGGGAAAAUAUCCUUCAAAGAUGAAGGAGAAAUAAAGAUUCCCAACCAAACAAAAGUUGAGGGAUUUCAUCAACACCAGACUUCUCCUACAAGAAAUGCUAAAGGGAGUUCUUCACUUUGAAAGAAAAUGAUGUUAAGGAGCAAUAAGAAAUUAUCUGAAGGGGCUGGGUGCAGUGGCUCACGCCUGUAAUCCCAGCACUUUGGGAGGCCGAGGCAGGCAGAUGACCUGAGGUCAGAAGUUCAAGACCAGCCUGGCCAACAUGACAAAACCCUGUCUCUACUAAAAAUACAAAAAAAAAAAAAAAAAUUAGCCAGGCGUGGCAGUGCAUGCCUGUAAUCCCAGCUACUCGGGAGGCUGAGGCAGGAGAAUCACUUGUACCUGGGAGGCGGAAGUUGUAGUGAGCCAACAUUGCGCCACUGCCCUCCAGCCCAGGCAACAGAGUUAGACUCCGUCUCAAAAAAAAGAAAUUAUCUGAAGGUAUAAAACUCACUGGUAAUAUUAACUACACAGACAAGCACAGAAUAUCAUGACACUAUAAUAGUGUUAUGUAAACUACUCAUAUCUUGAGCAGAAAUUCUAAAAGCUGAAUCUAUCAAAAAUAGUAACUACAACUUUUCAAGACAUAGAUAGUAGAAUAAGACAUAAAUAGAAACCAUAAAAUGUUAAAAAGUGGGGGCAAUGUGGUGUGGAGUUUUUAUUAACUUUCUCUCCUUUGUUUUUUGCGAUUAGUGUUAAGUUGUCAUCAGUUUUAAAUAAUGGGUUAUCAAGGAGGAUCGCUUGAGCCCAGGAAUUUGAGACCAGCCUGGGCAACACAGUAAGACUCUCUCUCUAUAAAGAAAAAAAACUUAAAAAAAAAAAAAGAAAAGAAAACAAGACCCAACAAUCUGUUGCCUACAAGAAACACUCUUCACCUAUAAAUACACACAUAGGCCUAAAAUAAAGGGAUGGAAAAAGAUAUUCCACACAAAUGAAAACCAAAAAAGAGUAGGAGUUGCUAUAUUUCUAUCAGAUAAAAUAGAUUUCAAGAGAAAAAUAUAAAAAGAGACAAGAUUAUUAUAUAAUGAUAAAGAGGUCAACUCAGCAAGAGGGUAUAACAAUUGUAUAUGCACUCAACACUGGAGUACCCAGAUAAAAAAAGCAAAUGUUAUUAGAGCUCAGGAGAGAGAUAGACCCCAAUACAAUAAUAACUGGGGACUCCAACACCACACUUUCAGCAUUGGACAGAUCAUCCAGACAGAAAAUCAACAAACAUCCAACUUAAUCUGCACUAUAGACCAAAUAGACCUAAUAGAUAUUUACAGAACAUUUCGUCCAACAGCUAUAGAAUACACAUUCUUCUCCUCAGCACAUGGAUCAUUCUUGAGGAUAGACCAUAUGUUAGGCCACAAAACAAGUCUUCAAAAAAUUUUUUUUUUAAAUUAAAAUCAGGCCAGGCAUGGUAGCUCACGCCUGUAAUCCUAGUACCUUAGGAGGCUGAGGCGAGUGGAUCACCUGUGACCUAUUCAUAUAACGGACACUACAUAACAAGGAGAAUGAAGGAACUAAAACUUUGUGCAAUCACAUGUAUGAAUCUCACAAACAUAAUGGUGAGCAAAGUAAGCCAGGCACAAAUGAGAACACAUUAUAUGAUUCCAUUUAUAUAAAAUUGAAAAUCAGACAAAAUAAAUCAGUGAUGUUGGAAGUCAGGAUGGUGUUUACCUGUUGGGAUGGUGGAGAUAGUAGUGACCAAGAGGAAGGCACAAGAGCUACUUUUGGGUGGUAAUAUUGUUCUUUUCCUUGAUCAUACUCACAUAGGUUACAUAGGUGUUGAUUUUGUGAAAAUUCAUUGAACUGUAAACUUACCUACUUUUCUGCAUGCAUGUUAUCCUUAAAAAGUUUACUAAAUUACCUGUACAUCCUUAUGAUAGGAAAUCUAGAAAAUAGAAACUAUAUAGUGUUAAAAAACAGUUUUCAAAAUAAGGAAACAUUAUGACUGUCAUAUAUAAAUAUAAAAUGAGCACAUCAAAGAUUUUAUUUAACUCAUUAAUUAAUGAGAAAACCAGUAAGGUGUUAUAGCUGGUUCAAAUGGAUUUGAUUUACAGAGAUCUAUAUUACCUGCCAGACAAAAUUUAUUUGCAUUGACAUGAACAGGGAUCAUUUCCAGUUAUAACAGGAAACAUUUGCAUUAAUGUCAAUUUUCUACAUCUUCACCUCUUUCUCUACAGAGUUAUAAAUAGUCUAAUCAAAGACUAGUCAAAGACAAUGAAAGUAGAAAUGAAUGGAUGCACUAAUUAGGAUACCCACUACAUUUCAAAGGUUUUAACAUUUUUACUUACAAUAGAGUAAAAUCAAAACAACCUGUAAUCCUUCUAUUCAGGAGUAAUCUAUAUAUACACAAUUUUGUGCCAUAUUUUUAAAUAUUACAUAAGAAUUGUCUUAUAUCUAGAGCAAAAUUACUUAAGUAAAAUUUUUAGAAAACAACUUUUCAUAUUGAGUACAAAGGUUUUUUUCCCCUUUGUUCUAAAAAUCCUCUGUUCACAUUUCUGGUUAUUUCCUUAACAUAUUUUCUUAGAAGGAAAAGUAUUGGAUCAAAAGAUAUGACCAUUUUUAAGACUCUUGAUACAUAUUGCCAAGUUGUUGUUGUGGUGGUUGUUGUUGUUGUUUUGUUUUUGAGACAGAGUCUCGCUCUGUCGCCCAGGCUGGAGUGCAGUGGCACAAUCUCAGCUCACUGUAACCUUUGCCUCCGGUUUCAAGUGAUUCUCCUGCCUCAACCUCCUGAGUAGCGGGACUACAGGUGUGUACCACCACGCCUGGCUAAUUUUUGUAUUUUAGUAGAGAUGGGGUUUCACCAUGUUGGCCAUGGUCUAGAACUCCUGACCUCAAGUGAUCCACCUGCCCAGCCUUCCAAAGUGCUGGGAUUACAAGUGUGAGGCACUAUGCCCAGCCUUAUAUUGCCAAGUAUUAUAGGAAUACUUUGCAGCACAUAAUUAGGUUGGAGGGUGAGAGGAAGCAAAAAUCUUUCUAAGCUACUUUCAUACUCCCAGAAUUACUCCUGUCCGUAAGAUUUCCAGGAGUAAAACAUGUUUAUAGUUUUGCAACUACCCACCAUCUGCCUUUUUCUCUUCCUUUGCUUUUGGACUUUGAGCAAAAACCCAGUACUUGCCUAAGGAAAAAGUGUGGGUUGGCACAGCAAACCACAAAAAUCUCAAGUUCUAACCAAAUUUAAGGCUGCAAGAUGCCUCCCUGCACUGAUGGCUUCAUCUGUAUUAGGUUAUAAAUCCCUUGAGGAAUUUUCUAGGACCCAAUUCUAGCCCUACUUCCCGUGUUUACACAUAUUUUCUGAUCUGUUUUGCCAGUAUUGAUUUAAAAUAUUUUGACAGCCGGGCGUGGUGGCUCACGACUGUAAUCCCAGCACUUUGGGAGGCUGAGUCAGGUGGAUCACGAAGUCAGGAGAUCAAGACCAUCCUGGCUAACACGGUGAAACCCUCUCUCUGCUAAAAAUACAAAAAAUUAGCUGGGCAUGGUGGCACACGCCUGUAGUCCCAGCUACUAGGGAGGCUGAGGCAGGAGAAUCGCUCGAACCCAGGAGGCAGAGGUUGCAGUGAGCCAAGAUAGCGCCACUGCACUCCAGCCUGGGCGACAGAAUGAGACUGUCUCAAAAAAUAAAAUAAAAUAAAAUAAAAUAAAAUAAAAUAUUCUAUAAGCCACAUAUAUCUAACCAUGAGACCCAACUUAAUUCAACUAUUCUAUCAAUUGCCUACUGAGUGCCAGGAACUGUGGUGUACUAGGCCUAGAGUAAGUCGUGAGCAAAACAGACUUUUUCCUGCUAUAGGAGCAGAAAGGUGUAGUACCUUUCUUCAUCCAUCAUAAGCGUUACAGUUGACACUCCUAUAACAAAAGACAGAUUAACAAGAGAAAAGCAUAACAAAUUUAUUUAACCAAAGUUUUACAUGAAAUGGGAGCCUUUAGAAAUGAAUAGCCCCCCUCCCCCAAAAAAAAGAAAUGAAUACCCAAAGAUGCAAGGAAAACUGUGUUUUUAUGCUGAGGCUCGAUGAAGAAUGGACAGCCAUGUAGAAAUGUGACUGGACAAGAGAGUAUGAUCUUACUGUAAUAGACUGAGGAGGAAACCCAGCAAGGCCUGCCUUUCUGUUUAGGUUCUUCUGGGUCUCUUUAUGUAGCAUUCCUUCCUCCUGAGUAUGGGUAGGACCCCUCUGGAAUGAGAGUCUCCAGGAUAAAAGGGAAAGAAUGACCCAGAGGUUUUAUGGCUUGCUUUGCAGAAGAGUGGUCCUAGUGUCUAGGACCUGUCUUGGCAUAGAGGAAUUCUGAUUUCUAUCCUUGUUUUAGAGAAGAAAAAGAGACAAGAGACAGGAGAGCAGAAGAGGGUCAGAGAACACUUUAUUCCGAGGUCCUUCCAGAGUCCUUCAGUUUAAAGUACUCAGCCAAGGGCCGAUCAUGGUAUCUCACACCUGUAAUCUCACUACUUUGAGAGGCUGAGGCGGGAAGAUCACUUGAGGUCAGGAGUUUGAAAUCAGCCUGACCAAUAUGGUGAAACCCUGUCUACUAAAACACAAAAAUUAGCCAGGCAUGGAGGCGGGUACCUGUGAUCUCAGCUACUUGGGAGGCUGAGGCAGGAGAAUCGCUUGAACUCAGGAGGCAGAGGUUGGAGUGUCUAUGCAUAGGGCGCGAUCAUAGUGCACUGCAGCCUUCAACUCCUGGCCUCAAUGGAUCCUCCCGGCCUCAUCCUCCCAAGGCUAUUUAUUAUUUUGUUAUAUUGGUAGGUAGGUCUCUUACCAACUGGAUAAAAUGCUCCUUGAAGGCAGGGGCCAUGUCUUUACUUCUCUGGUAUACUCCAAAGUGCUGAGCAUUUAAUAGGCAUCCAGUGGAGAGCAACCCAGUUGAAAACAUUAGUGCCUCAUGUCUGCAUGAACCAAGCUUGCCUUCCAGCUCCUCACAGAAUCUCUGUGGGAAUAAGUAACAUGAUUGGAAAACAUGAAAUAACUUACUAUGUAAGUGAUCAUUUUACACUUUAUGUCAUCACCAAUAGGUGGCACCAUCAAUUUUAAAAUUAUAUAGCCCAAAAUUGUACAUAUUGAUGGUGUUUGUUCAAUAGAUGUUUACUGGACUCCAUGUAUGUAGAAACUUCUCAGCUCGCCACUACCACCAGAGUAAAAAUAAAAGUAUUACAGACACGCUUUAUCAUACUUUCUUUUCUAGUAAUACCCUAAAAAACAUGUAUUUCCACUUUCAGAUUUCAUCCCCGUUUUAAAAAAACAACAUCUAAAUCUUGGAUAACACAAAAACAACGGUUUUACAAUUUUGUCCUUUUGUGUUUGUGUGUAUGUGUGUGCAUUCCAACCCAGCUUAAUAUCUUAUUGUAAAAGGGAAAAAGGGAUGCAAAAAUAAAUAAAAAGCAAAUUUAAAAACCUGGGUUUUAGUGGGGGAAGGGGACCUAUCAGCAGAAUUUAACCCGAGUUGGCUUUCAGUUAACACAAUUUACCACUCCUCUCUUUCUUUCCUUUUGGAAGAUAACAAAAGUUUGAUUCAGGCACAGAAGAAUUAUUUCAACAGCUUCCAAGUCCGCAUAAUCCCAUCUGGAGAUAAUAAAAGGCCCCAUUCCUCUGUGUUUAUUUCAAGAGGUUCGUUCUUUGGAAUGACCUGAGGUUGCAAACUGUAGAACAGUUGCCAGCUGAAGAGAACUGCAGCUUGAAUGCUACUCAGGAAGUCUCUAUGGACCUGGGAUAACUCCUCUGAGAUUUCCUUAGUGUAGAAAGAGGCCCCUGUGCCCUUCCUUCUCUACAAGAUGAGGGCAAAAAAGGGACAAAAGAGAAAAAGAGGGGAAAGGGAGCAGUGAGGAAAUUAAACUGCAGUAUUUGCAUCAAACACCAUAUAAUAGUCACUAAUUCACUAAUUUAUCCACCUACUGCUGAGAGAAUAGGAAACUCUGCCCAAGUCUGCCUUUUUUUUUUUUUUUUUUUUUUUUUUGAGACGGAGUCUUGCUGUAUCGCCCAGGCUGGAGUGAAGUGGCGCAAUCUCGGCUCACUGCAAGCUCCGCCUCCUGGGUUCACGCCAUUCUCCUGCCUCGGCCUCCCGAGUAGCUGGGACUGCAGGCGCCCGCCACCAUGCCUGGCUAAUUUUUUGUAUUUUUAGUAGAGACGGGGUUUCACCAUGUUAGCCAGGAUAGUCUCGAUCUCCUGACCUCAUGAUCCGCCCGCCUUGGCCUCCCAAAGUGCUAGGAUUACAGACGUGAGCCACCGCGCCUGGCCGUCUGUGCCUCUUUUUACUGAAUGUCUUUAAAGUGCGAUGAAUGGCAUUAGGGAGUUGGGAAGAUGCACAGAGGGAACAUAGAAGGGUUUUUGUCAUUCAGGAGCUUCCAAUCUAGUAAACCAUAAGAGUGUCUUGUAUAGUGGUGGUUAGAAAGGCAGGCUGCUUUAUUCAUUUGUACCACAACUCCACCACCUAUGCACAUUUGUGCUAAUUUCAAGCAAAGGGGAAUAUGGAUCCACCUUUACACUACUCUGCAAAAAAGAAAAAUUACCUAUCCUCCUCUGAUGUUUUUAGAAAUUCGAAAUAAAUUUUAAAUGAAGUAAAGCAAUGAGGCAAAGUUUUUAUUUCAAACCAUGAGCCCUUCUCUCCCCACUAGUUGAGAAUCUCUAUGAUACUUAUUCAAUGUGAUGAAAGAUUGCUCAGGCUCAGAAAGGGGCAAGUUAUGAUUGGAGACAAUGACUUUGCAACAUAAUCAAUUCAUCUAGUUUUGCUAUUACCUUGACAGCCUAGGUCCAGGAGCAGGGAAAUUAGAUGGUGUCCUAUUCAGAGUUGGGAAUGGCAAGACUGGCUCAUGGGCCAGGGAUGAUGAAACCAGCAUGCUGGUCAAAGCCUUUGCUAAAUAUCUCCCCAUGGAGCCCAGGCUCAGAAAUGGCUGUCCAGCCUUUUGCAGCCCUUCCUAGGCUGCCAUAAAAAUGUACCACCAGGCAGCUUCAAACAACAGAAAUGUAUACUCUCACAGUUCUGGAAGCUAGAAGUCCAAGACUAAGGGAUUGGCGGGAUUGGUUUUUUCUGAGGUCUCCAAAGGAGAAUCUGUUUCAUGCCUCUUUGCCAGCUUCUGAUGGUGGCUGGCAAUUGCUGGUAUUCCUUGUCUUGUAGAUGCAUCACUCACAUCUCUGUCUCCAUCUUCACAUGAUGUUCUCACUAUAUUUCUGCAUCUUCACAUGGCCCUCUUCACGUGGACAUUAGUCUUGUUGGAUUAAGGGCCCACUCUACUUCUCUAGUAUGACCUCAUCUUAAUUAGUUACAUCUACAAUGACACUAUUUCCCCCAAUAAGCUCACAUUCUGACGUACUGAGGGCUAGGACUUCAACAUAUUUCACCGAGGGCACAAAAUUCAGCCUGCAACAGGCCUGAUGGCAGGGAAGAGAGCUGAGUGUUGUAGGGGGAGAAGGAGGGACUAAGGGCUGGUCAGAGUGGCAGGGAGUACAGGGUGGAAUUCUCAACACUCAGGAAUGGUGGAGGUGGCUUUGGUCUCAAAUUGAUCCAAGUUUAGGAUAACUAUAUUGGUUCAUGCAGAUUUAAUUGUGCCUCCAGUUUUAGAACUUUUUUUUUUUUUUUUUUUUUUUUUGAGAUAGGGUCUCCCUUUGUUGUCCUGGCUAGAGUGCAGUGGCGUGAUCAUAGCUCACUGUAGUGCUAACAUCCUGGGCUCAGUCUCCUGAUUAGCUGGGACUACAGGCACACUGCACUAUGCCCAGAUUUUUUUUGAUUUGUGUAGAGAUAGGGUCUCACUAGGUUUUCCAGGCUGGUCUCAAACUCCUGGGUUCAAGCAAUUCUCCAGCCUGGACCUCCCAAAGUGCUGGGAUUAUAGGUAUGAGCCACUGCACUCAGCCUAGAACACCACUUUUUAACCAUCAGGACUUUACUUGGAUAUGUGAGUUAAAUGCUUUACUAAAGUCCCAGUGUAGAUGGAUUCAGUCCUCUCCAGAGGCUUGGGGUGCUAAUCUGGUUGGAAGUGAGAAGCUUGGGGACUUGUCUUAAGCUGUGCUUUAUGGCAAGCUCAUCAUGUUUACAUGGUUUGUUAUUACUUAGGGCAAUCUGGGAUUAGGGGAGCUAAUGAAGAUUAGGGAAGCCAGACCCCCAAUCAACCCUUGGACUUGCGUUGGUCUCUAGCUUAUCCUUUUAUCUUGCUGACCUUUCAAGAUCUGUUGUAACUAUAUUAACUCAAAUCUGUUUGUUGGAAAUUGAACCAAGACUAUACGAUCUCCAUGUUCUCAGACUCACUUACUGGCUUAUGCUCAACAACAGAGAGAGGGCAGUGUGCAGCGUAUGAGUUAACUUUUGUAGUAGAAUAGUUCAAGCAUUUUAGAGCAGGCUAUAGCCACAGACUUGCAUAGUGUGGCAACACAGGUUGUACAACUUACGCAAACAAAAAGAUGCACAUUUAAUUGAGUACGGUGAAUGGUCACUUCUGGGGAGGGGGAGGAGAAUAAGAGGAGAAACAUAAAAUGGAUGGAUGGAUAGAUAGGUAUAUAGGUAGAUAGAUAGAUAGAUAGAUAAUCAAUAGAUAGGGAUAAAUAGAACAAGAGAGAGGCCGCGAAGAGACUGAUGAAGAGAGGGUACUAUAGAAUGAGGAGUAUUAUUAAUUCAACCUCCUGCAUCUUUAGUCUAAAAGAACAAGAAUAGCCAGAAUGUCUGGAUUAAAAGUGCGAAUCCUCUACCCACUAGGUUUUUGUAAGUUAGCUAAUCUCUCUUUCCCUCAGCUCAUUUAAAACAGAGGUAAUAUUAGUACCUACCUCAUGGAAUUGUUGUGAAAACGAAAUGAGUCGGAAUGUGUAAAGUGCUUAGAAGAGCACCUGACACUCAACCAGUAACUACCAGUAAUAAACAUUCAACCAUAUGGUCAGGAGAAUUAAGUAAAAUAAUCCACAUAAAAUGCUUAGGCACUUAACAGUGCCUGGCUCAUUGUGUUCAAUAGACGUUAGUUAGGCAGCUGUUGUCAUAGUCAACAUCAUUGUCAUUAUCAUCAUUUCUUUAAAUGGCCAACUCCAUUCCUUUAGUCACUUACAGAGAGGUAGCUGGACACAGUGUUGUACAGUGGAAAGAGAAUGCUUUCUCCUAUACUAAUGCCACCUCCAUCUUUUCCUUUUGUGUGAUCUUAGGCAAGUCAAUUCUUCCAGCAUUGGUUUCUGCAAGUAAGCCUCCUACACCCAUUGUUAGCAUUAAAUCUCACUCUGGGCACAUCACUCAUUUGGAGGCUCUAGUGUUGAAACCCCACACUUAACUCUGUAUUAGCUAUUAUGCCAGGCAAGCAAAGACAAGGGCCUGACCCUCGGGGAAGUCAUGUUGGCCCUAGUGAAAUGGCCAGACCAUUAGGCAUACCAUGCCCUGUACCUACGCAAGCCUCAUCAGUGCAGCCUAAACGCAUAGCCCCAGUGUGGAGUCAUUUGGAACCAUUAGUGUUACAUGGAAGCAGGGACCCAAACCAAGAUGGGUCAAUCUGGGUCAUUCCCCAUUGUCUGAGGGAUUCUACUUGUCUUGUUUUGACUUUUGAUUUUCUGUUUUGUGUCAGAGUUACCCAGAAAUUGCUUUGUGUCGGGUGUUAUACUGUUUCACAUGUAUUCUCUCAUUUAAACCUCAUAAUAACCCUGUGAGGAAACAGCUGCUAUUCUCCCCCAUUUUAUGGAUGAAGAAACUGAGGUACAGCAUUUUAGAGUAAUUUACCCCAGGUUACACAACUAGUAAGUGGCUAAGCCAGUAGCCAAACCACAGCAGUCUGGCAGCAGAACCCUUGCUAUUAUAUAAUACUACCUCUUGGAAAUUUCCAGGGAGUUUGGCAGUUUGGGCCAAAAUGAGAAUUGGACAUAAUCUGUGAUCCAACAGUUUCACUUUAAUGAAUUUAUGUAA
rnacentral:lncRNA from 1 species